GUGCUCCCUUCUGCAGCACAAGUACUAAAAUUGGAAAGAUACAGAGAAGAUGGGCAUGGCCCCACACAAGGAUGACUAACUCUUGGACAACAAGGGAAGACAAGUCUUU